GUUAGACUUCAAAGCGUUUUUAAGAUUUACUUCCUUACAACAACUGAAAGCAAAACGACUGAUAAAUAAAUAAUAAAAGAGUGUCGGGUGCGCCAUUUUAAUUCAUCAUAGUUAAGACGCUCUUAUCGCAAGAACCUACCUUUUUAAAUGCCAACAAAUCAAUGGACUCUGACGUUUUAGAAAUUAUUGACGGCGACAUUGAUACAGUUAAAAAAUAUGAGUUCCUAGUCUCUCGUUAUAAAAGUCCUUCUCCAAGAAAUUUUUUCAUAAGUUUUAUAAACAGUUUAAUUUCAUUUUGUAAACGCUAGUAUGAUUGUGUAACAGUAGGUGUUUACCUUUGCAAUAAUCGAGAGGUUUAAUAACUGAAUAUAUUAUUUUUAUUUUAGAUAUUUAGUUUAUACUUGCUAAAGAAAAUUGGUGGAACAGAGUCGCAACGUUACUAAUUUUUUAAUGUCAAAAGUAAACAUCCAUGUUUACUUUUACAGGAAAUUUCGGAAACUUUCAUUCAGUUACGAAAUCAGACGAUCAGGACACGAAUGAAGGAGAAUAUGUUGCACAUACAGGUACAAGCGGUAGAAGGUAUUCUCGGAAAAUUUUUUAAAAUGUAUAAACCAGAGAAAACACUACAAAAAGCUUGAAUAUUUAAUUUUUUUUAAUUAUUGGAACAUAAACAAGUAUAGUACACAAA